rnacentral:rRNA from 1 species
UACGUAGGUGGCAAGCGUUAUCCGGAUUUACUGGGUGUAAAGGGCGUGUAGGCGGGACUGCAAGUCAGAUGUGAAACCCAUGGGCUCAACCCAUGGCCUGCAUUUGAAACUGUAGUUCUUGAGUGAUGGAGAGGCAGGCGGAAUUCCGUGUGUAGCGGUGAAAUGCGUAGAUAUACGGAGGAACACCAGUGGCGAAGGCGGCCUGCUGGGCAUUAACUGACGCUGAGGCGCGAAAGCGUGGGGAGCAAACAGG